CCGGAACACAGACACUUCCUGUUAUCCUACAACCGGACCUGUGUCACACCAGUGUCACACAGACACCACGCCACUUUUGGAGGAUCGCUGGCAUGUUUGAAUAACGUUAUUCUGAAAGAUAGCAUAGCACACAAUGUCUAUCUUUAAAUUCACUGUUGUUUCAAAUUGUCGGGUUAUAUGUUAAUUGUCGGGUUCACAUCUGACGACAUUAGCCUACGUCGUCGGAUGUCUCUGGAGUGAAGCCAGUGAAGUCCCCGGAGAACAAUGGCUGCCUGUCAACGGUUGUCUGACUUCGGCAAAAAGGUUAUCAAGGAACGUAGUGGUGUACUGGAUGGAGCUGCAAAGCCUAGCACUACCUUACACUGACAGACUUUGACUAGAUUUGGGAAAGAUUCUUGACAAGAUUGUAGUCUUUUAACUAAUAUAAUAUAAUGCCCCUCAUUCAAGUUUUAGGCUACUCAAAAGACUACAAUCUUUCAAGAAUCUUUCCCAAAUCUUGUCAAAGUUUGUCAGUGUAAGGUAGGCUUAAUCAGGAUUUCUGGAGCAAGGAAGCUGAAAGAAACAUUCCAUGACAAAUUGAUUGAUUGGUGCCAGGGACAGGGGUGGCAAUUGCCUCUCAAGGCAGACACCACGUUUGAGAAAAAAGGCCCAGAAGAGAUGUACAAUCAGAAAGUACAGUAAAGUGAAUGUUACUUGAUGGGUUCUUCUUUAGGAUUGCAUACAGAACCACAUAGCACACAAUAGCCACAAGCCUAAUGCAAUGUUUUUGUUUUCUGUAAUUAUUCUUUUUCUAAUAAUACAUACUGUACGUACACAUACAUUCUGUACAUACACUAUAUUGCCAAAAGUAUUUGGUCACCUGCCUUGACCCCCAUAUGAACUUCAGUCACAUCCUAUUCUUAAUUCAUAGGGUUUGAUAUGACGCCAGUCCACUCUUUGUACCUAUAACAGCUUCAACUCUUCAGGGAAGGCUUUCCACAAGGUUUAGGAGUGUGUUUUUGGGCAUUUUUGACCAUUCUUUCAGAAGUGCAUUUGUGAGGUCACACACUGAUGUUGGACAGGCUCUCAGUCUGUGCUCUAAUUCAUUCGUAAACACACUUCUAAACCUUGUGGAAAGCCUUCCCUGAAGAGUUGAAGAUGUUAUAGCUGCAAAGGGUGGACCAAUGUCAUAUUAAGC